AACGAACGCUGGCGGCAGGCUUAACACAUGCAAGUCGAGCGCAUCCUUCGGGGUGAGCGGCGGACGGGUGAGUAACGCGUGGGAACGUGCCCUCUUCUACGGAAUAGCCUCGGGAAACUGAGAGUAAUGCCGUAUACGCCCGCAAGGGGAAAGAUUUAUCGGAGGAGGAUCGGCCCGCGUUGGAUUAGGGAGUUGGUGGGGUAACGGCCUACCAAGCCGACGAUCCAUAGCUGGUUUGAGAGGAUGAUCAGCCACACUGGGACUGCGACACGGCCCAGACUCGUACGGGAGGCAGCAGUGGGGAAUCUUGGACAAUGGGGGCAACCCUGAUCCAGCCAUGCCGCGGGAUCGAUGAAGGCCUUAGGGUUGUAAAGAUCUUUCAGCUGGGAAGAUAAUGACGGUACCAGCAGAAGAAGCCCCGGCUAACUCCGUG
rnacentral:rRNA from 1 species